GAUGAACGCUAGCGGGAGGCCUAACACAUGCAAGCCGAGCGGUAUUUGUCUUGCGGGACAGAGAGAGCGGCGUACGGGUGCGGAACACGUGUGCAACCUGCCUUUAUCUGGGGGAUAGCCUUUCGAAAGGAAGAUUAAUACCCCAUAAUAUAUUGAUUCGCAUGGAUUGAUAUUGAAAACUCCGGGGGAUAGAGAUGGGCACGCGCAAGAUUAGAUAGUUGGUGAGGUAACGGCUCACCAAGUCAGUGAUCUUUAGGGAGCCUGAGAGGGGACUCCCCCACACUGGUACUGAGACACAGACCAGACUCCUACGCGAGGCAGCAUUGAGGAAUAUUGGACAAUGGGUGAAAGCCUGAUCCAGCCAUCCCGCGUGAAGGACGACGGUUCUAUGGAUUGUAAACUUCUUUUAUAUAGGGAUAAACCUACUUACGUGUAAGUAGCUGAAGGUACUAUAUGAAUAAGCACCGGCUAACUCCGUGCCAGCCGCCGCGGUAA
rnacentral:rRNA from 1 species